CACAAGGGGACAGCACAGGGAGAGCUGGUGUCAGACUUCUGGACAAAGGCAAGCCCGGGCCAUGGGAAGCUCUUGUCCCACUGAGAAGACUAACCGGACCAGCAAGGAAGAAGACCACUUUCUGAAAAUGACCAUCCUUUGUCAAGAAACAAACACCCGCUUUUCCUCAUUCAGUGAUGUGAAUGAACAAAAUGUCAGGUAGAUGAGUCAAAGAAGAGGCUGUGAUACCUGUAAGAAGACCUGCAGAGGCAACUUAAGAUAAGCUAGCUGUCCCCGAAAGGUGGAUUUGAAAAAACUCAACCUCGUCUACAUCAUAUGACAGUAGAUGUGUUUACCAAAAGACAAAUGCAAAAUGAAUUCUGAAAAAUCAAAUAAAACUAAAGCACAAAGGAUACCUUUGCAGCAAAGAUUCCUCAUGAAUGUGAUUGCUCUACUUUGUAUGUACGUAAUUUUGUUUGUCAAACUUUAUCAAGCAAUGCAUACUAAAAGUGUAUACUUAGAGUAUACUAUAAACUCUAACAGUCAAUUUCUAUAUGUUGGAAGAAAUGUGUCAACAUAAAU
rnacentral:lncRNA from 10 species